CCCAGCUCGUCAUGCUAGAGCACUUUUUCAAUGUGCUCCCCAACGAGAAGGCAACGACUCAUUCGUAUGUCAAUCCAUAUCAACUUUCGAUGCCAUUGACUGCGCCUACCAUGGUGACCACGGGUAAUGGGGAAUCAGGGUUCGAUUCCGUACAGGGACCCUGACAAACGGUUACCACAUGCAAGGAAGGCAGCAGGCGUGCAAAUAACCCACUCCCGCCGCGGGAAGGUAGUGACG